rnacentral:rRNA from 1 species
AGUGAACGCUGGCGGUAGGCCUAACACAUGCAAGUCGAACGGCAGCACAGAGGAGCUUGCUCCUUGGGUGGCGAGUGGCGGACGGGUGAGGAAUACAUCGGAAUCUACUCUGUCGUGGGGGAUAACGUAGGGAAACUUACGCUAAUACCGCAUACGACCUACGGGUGAGAGCAGGGGAUCUUCGGACCUUGCGCGAUUGAAUGAGCCGAUGUCGGAUUAGCUAGUUGGCGGGGUAAAGGCCCAACAAGGCGACGAUCCGUAGCUGGUCUGAGCGGAUGAUCAGCCACAAUGGAACUGAGACACGGUCCAGACUCCUACGGGAGGCAGCAGUGGGGAAUAUUGGACAAUGGGCGCAAGCCUGAUCCAGCCAUACCGCGUGGGUGAAGAAGGCCUUCGGGUUGUAAAGCCCUUUUGUUGGGAAAGAAAUCCAUCUGGUUAAUACCCGGGUGGGAUGACGGUACCCAAAGAAUAAGCACCGGCUAACUUCGUGCCAGCAGCCGCCGCCG